ensembl:snoRNA
GUGCCCUGUCUCUGAUGAAGCCUGUGAUGGUAGGGACAUCUGAGAGUGAUGAUGAAUGCCAAGCACUCUGAUGGUUU